AACGAACGCUGGCGGCAGGCCUAACACAUGCAAGUCGAGCGAGGACUUCGGUUCUAGCGGCGGACGGGUGAGUAACGCGUGGGAAUGUGCCCUUCUCUACGGAAUAGCCCUGGGAAACCGGGAGUAAUACCGUAUACGCCCUAUUGGGGAAAGAUUUAUCGGAGAAGGAUCAGCCCGCGUUGGAUUAGGUAGUUGGUGGGGUAAUGGCCUACCAAGCCGACGAUCCAUAGCUGGUUUGAGAGGAUGAUCAGCCACACUGGGACUGAGACACGGCCCAGACUCCUACGGGAGGCAGCAGUGGGGAAUCUUAGACAAUGGGGGCAACCCUGAUCUAGCCAUGCCGCGUGAGUGAUGAAGGCCUUAGGGUUGUAAAGCUCUUUCAGCUGGGAAGAUAAUGACGGUACCAGCAGAAGAAGCCCCGGCUAACUCCGUG
rnacentral:rRNA from 1 species